rnacentral:rRNA from 1 species
UACGUAGGGGGCGAGCGUUACCCGGAUUUACUGGGCGUAAAGAGCGUGUAGGCGGCUGGCCAAGCGUGAUGUGAAAUCUUCGGGCUUAACCCGAAAACUGCAUUGCGAACUGGUCUGGCUAGAGUGUGUGAGAGGGUAGUGGAAUUCCCGGUGUAGCGGUGAAAUUCGUAGAUAUCGGGAGGAACACCAGUGGCGAAGGCGGCGACCUGGACAGAUAUUGACGCUGAGGUGCGAAAGCGUGGGGAGCAAACAGG